CUUUCGUAUACUGAUCCCGCGUCUGGCAAUCUGGCUGCAAUCGUUUGUUAGUUGGAAGAGGUUUUUUGUUGUCGUUGAUUCUUUUGUGUUUUCUACGUAGAAAAUCAUGUCAUCUGUAAACAGAGAUAGUUUUAUUGCAUCCUACGCAAUCUAUAUACUUUUUGUUAGUAUUUUAUUAUUAUUAUUUUUUGCCCUGUUGUGUUAGUUGGUACAACAUUGGAUCGUGGGACCUUCUUGCCUUGUUCCUGACCACACGGGUUUUUCCUACUGGGCUCCUGUUGGUGCUUGCAUCCUGACCGUUUUCAAAUAUUUUAUCACCUUUGCUUUCUUUUUUUCUUCCUUCCUUUCUUGGAUUUGUUUUCUGUUUUAUUUNNNNNNNNNNNNNNNNNNNNNNNNNAGCACCUCGGACCCCAGCGGGAAGGUGUCGCACGCCUACGGGGACCCGGGCGCCAGCCUGGUGCUAGGGUCGGCGCAGGACGGGGCCCGGCGCUACGAGAACGGGGCGUUCGACGAGUUCAUCAUCUGGGAGCGCGCCCUGACGCCUGACGAGGUCGCCAUGUACUUCACCGCGGCCGUGGGAAAGCAUGUUCUGCCUCUGUCCACCCCGCCGAGCCUCGGCGUGACCCCUGCAGCGAGCACCGCGGUGCCCACCGACGCCUACCGCCCCAUCAUAACCAACCUCACGGAAGAGAGGAGAAACUUCCAGAGCCCCGGCACCGUGCUGAGUUACCUUCAGAACCUGUCCCUCAGUUUACCCAACAAAUCUCUGUCGGAGGACACGGCGCAGAAUCUCACGGAGGUGAGCCGUGCGGUGUCCGUGUCCCGUGGGCUGCAGGCCCGGCCCGUGCAUGUGUCGUGUC
rnacentral:lncRNA from 1 species